rnacentral:rRNA from 1 species
GAUGAACGCUAGCGGCAGGCUUAACACAUGCAAGUCGAGGGGCAGCGAGGAAGUUGCUUGCAACUUCUGUCGGCGACCGGCGCACGGGUGCGUAACGCGUAUGUAACCUACCUCAAACAGGGGCAUAACACUGAGAAAUUGGUACUAAUUCCCCAUAACACCUUGGAGGGCAUCCUUUAGGGUUGAAAGUUCCGGCGGUUUGAGAUGGACCUGCGUUGUAUUAGCUAGUUGUAAGGUAACGGCUUACCAAGGCGACGAUACAUAGCCGACCUGAGAGGGUGAUCGGCCACACUGGGACUGAGACACGGCCCAG